AGAGUUUGAUCCUGGCUCAGGAUAAACGCUAGCGGCAGGCCUAACACAUGCAAGUCGAGGGGCAGCAGGGAAGUAGCUUGCUACUUCUGCUGGCGACCGGCGCACGGGUGCGUAACGCGUAUGCAACCUACCUUUAACAGGGGGAUAAUCCGAAGAAAUUUGGUCUAAUACCCCAUAAUAUUGAUUAAGGCAUCUUGAUCAGUUGAAAGUUCCGACGGUUAAAGAUGGGCAUGCGUUGUAUUAGCUAGUUGGUGAGGUAACGGCUCACCAAGGCUACGAUACAUAGGGGGACUGAGAGGUUUUCCCCCCACACUGGUACUGAGACACGGACCAGACUCCUACGGGAGGCAGCAGUGAGGAAUAUUGGUCAAUGGACGCAAGUCUGAACCAGCCAUGCCGCGUGCAGGAUGACGGCUCUAUGAGUUGUAAACUGCUUUUGUACGAGGGUAAACGCAGAUACGUGUAUCUGUCUGAAAGUAUCGUACGAAUAAGGAUCGGCUAACUCCGUGCCAGCAGCCGCGGUAAUACGGAGGAUUCAAGCGUUAUCCGGAUUUAUUGGGUUUAAAGGGUGCGUAGGCGGUUUGAUAAGUUAGAGGUGAAAUUUCAGGGCUCAACCCUGAACGUGCCUCUAAUACUGUUGAGCUAGAGAGUAGUUGCGGUAGGCGGAAUGUAUGGUGUAGCGGUGAAAUGCUUAGAGAUCAUACAGAACACCGAUUGCGAAGGCAGCUUACCAAACUAUAUCUGACGUUGAGGCACGAAAGCGUGGGGAGCAAACAGGAUUAGAUACCCUUGUAGUCCAGAAGUGGCAUAUAGUCU
rnacentral:rRNA from 1 species